UGGUAUCCUUUCAAAAGAGAAAAUCUCUGCAUAAGGCUUUGAUGUGUUGAAUAACCGAGAUGGGCAGCGGAAAGGGCACGGUCCAGAAAACAUGAAAGGCAUUAAGAACUUAUUUUGUCCGAUCUACCCUCGUAAGAGAGAGAUAUACUCUUUGCUUAUUGAUUUUGGAGAUUAGCGGUUCGUACAUAGCAGCUGAUAGCUGUCCA
rnacentral:lncRNA from 1 species